rnacentral:rRNA from 1 species
UGAGGAAUAUUGGUCAAUGGCCGGAAGGCUGAACCAGCCAAGCCGCGUGAAGGACGAAAGGUGCCAAGCAUUGUAAACUUCUUUUGUCAAGGGACAAAAUCAGGCUCGAGAGCCUGACCGAGGGUACUUGAAGAAAAAGCAUCGGCUAACUCCGUGCC